rnacentral:rRNA from 1 species
GUCUUUUUGGUAUUUAAUAUAAAGUCUAACCUGCCCACUGAAAAUAUUUUAAAGGGCCGCAGUAUUUUGACUGUGCAAAGGUAGCAUAAUCAUUAGUCUUUUAAUUGAAGGCUGGUAUGAAUGGUUGGAUAAGAUACAAGCUGUGUCAUAAAAAUUAAUAAUUGAAUUUAACUUUUUAGUUAAAAGGCUAAAAUUAAGUUAAAAGACGAGAAGACCCUAUAGAGCUUUAUAUAACAAUUAUUUAAGUUAUUUAGAUUGUUAAAAUUUAAUUUUUAUGUUAUAUUUUGUUGGGGUGACAAUAAAAUUUAUAAAACUUUUAUUUUUAAUUGACAUUAAUUUAUGAUUAAAUGAUCCAGUUUUAUUGAUUAUAAAUUUAAGUUACCUUAGGGAUAACAGCGUAAUUUUUUUUGAGAGUUCUUAUCGACAAAAAAGAUUGCGACCUCGAUGUUGGAUUAAGAGUAAUUUUGGGUGUAGAAGUUCAAAGUUUAAGUCUGUUCGACUUUUAAAUUCUUACAU